rnacentral:rRNA from 1 species
AAGCGCUUGUGACCAGACUUGUGCCCGGCGGAUCAACCAGCGUUCUCGCUGGUGCACUCCUCCGGGCUCAGGCCAGCAUCAGUUCGUCGCGGGGGAAAAAGGUUUCGGGAACGUGGCUCCUCCGGGAGUGUUAUAGCCCGUUGCAUAAUACCCUGCGGUGGACUGAGGACCGCGCAUCUGCAAGGAUGCUGGCGUAAUGGUCACCAGCGA